ACGCUGGCGGCGUGCCUAACACAUGCAAGUCGAGCGAGGGUUUGCUCAGUAUUGAGUAUUCUAAGACUAGAAUGUUCAAUACUGAGCAAAACCAAGCGGCGGACGGGUGAGUAACGCGUGGGUAACCUGCCCUAUACACAUGGAUAACAUACUGAAAAGUUUACUAAUACAUGAUAAUAUAUAUUUGCGGCAUCGCAGAUAUAUCAAAGUGUUAGCGGUAUAGGAUGGACCCGCGUCUGAUUAGCUAGUUGGUGAGAUAACUGCCCACCAAGGCGACGAUCAGUAGCCGACCUGAGAGGGUGAUCGGCCACAUUGGAACUGAGACACGGUCCAAACUCCUACGGGAGGCAGCAGUGGGGAAUAUUGCACAAUGGGCGAAAGCCUGAUGCAGCAGCGCCGCGUGAACGAUGAAGGUCUUCGGAUCGUAAAGUUCUGUUGCAGGGGAAGAUAAUGACGGUACCCUGUGAGGAAGCCCCGGCUAACUACGUGCCAGCAGCCGCGGUAAUACGUAGGGGGCUAGCGUUAUCCGGAUUUACUGGGCGUAAAGGGUGCGUAGGUGGUCCUUCAAGUCGGUGGUUAAAGGCUACGGCUCAACCGUAGUAAGCCGCCGAAACUGGAGGACUUGAGUGCAGGAGAGGAAAGUGGAAUUCCCAGUGUAGCGGUGAAAUGCGUAGAUAUUGGGAGGAACACCAGUAGCGAAGGCGGCUUUCUGGACUGCAACUGACACUGAGGCACGAAAGCGUGGGUAGCAAACAGGAUUAGAUACCCUGGUAGUCCACGCUGUAAACGAUGAGUACUAGGUGUCGGGGGUUACCCCCCUCGGUGCCGCAGCUAACGCAUUAAGUACUCCGCCUGGGGAGUACGCACGCAAGUGUGAAACUCAAAGGGAUUGACGGGGACCCGCACAAGUAGCGGAGCAU
rnacentral:rRNA from 1 species